rnacentral:misc_RNA from 1 species
AACUGUUGACAAUGGAUCUCUUGGCUCUCGCAUCGAUGAAGAACGCAGCGAAAUGCGAUAAGUAAUGUGAAUUGCAGAAUUCAGUGAAUCAUCGAAUCUUUGAACUCACCUUGCGCCCUUUGGCUAUUCUGAAGGGCAUGCCUGUUUGAGCAUCAUAAGCAUCUCAACUCUCACGGUUUACUGUGAGGAGGUUGGACUUUGGGGGUCUUGUUGGCUUGUGUUCAGCUCCCCUCAAAUCUAUCAGCUUCCCAGUGUUUGGCAGCAUCACAGGUGUGAUAAAUAUCUACGCUUGUGGUUCUUUGCCAGGUCUGUCCUCUCCUUGCAGAGGGCUCACUGGAGCUCAUAGAUGUCUCUCCUUGGUGGAGACAGCUGUUUGAAGUUUGGUCUCAAAUCAGGUAGGAUUACCCGCUGAAUUUAAGCAUAUCAAUAAGCGGAGGCU